rnacentral:lncRNA from 1 species
AGGGAAGUCGGCUUGUUUACUAAGAUCUAUAUUCUAUCAAUUCCACACUUCAAUCUCGAAUCGAAUACCCUGUUCCUGUGAGAGUUAGUGUUGAAGACCUGUCCAUGGUUAGUGAGUUACCUGAGUUUGACCUAUGAGUUUGACCUAAUGGUUAGUGAGUUACCUGAGUUUAACCUAUAAGUUUGACCUAUAAGUAGUGAGGGUAUAGUUCGGUAUGGCGCCUAUAGAUAACCUGUCCUGUCCGAGAAACUAGUAGUUGCGGUAAGUAAGUGAGUGGAAGUCCUCUUGAGAGCUUUCCCGCUCCCUUAUGAUUAGUAUUAGUCUCGAUAUCCCUUACCAAGUAGUAAACAAGGAAUUUGACUAGCUUGACCUAGACCACUCCUUUGACUUGUGUCUGCUUGUCGGCUUGUCGGACAGGAAUCUCUGAGUUUUGUUAGCGCAGAGAGGAAAGGAAACCCAGAAAAGAUGGGAAUUGAGUUGACCGAGCACAAGGUAUACCUUUGUUCGGUGUCAGUGAGCUUUACCUUCCUUAUAGUACUGAAGCUGAAUAAUGGAAUGGAAUUAGUUGACUCCGGAGAGGUCGGGGAAGACAAUAAGAAUAGACAGGACCGGGACCAGGACUUAACACCGUAAGAAUAUAGAAACAAAGAAGAAACAAAGAGAUCUUUUAGUUCCAUUGACUCAGUACUGACUAAGUAGAGGAAAGCCUACUAGAUGCUAUAUUAUCCUU